GAUGGACCCGCGCCGUAUUAGCUAGUUGGUAAGGUAACGGCUUACCAAGGCGACGAUACGUAGCCGACCUGAGAGGGUGAUCGGCCACACUGGAACUGAGACACGGUCCAGACUCCUACGGGAGGCAGCAGUAGGGAAUCUUCCGCAAUGGGCGAAAGCCUGACGGAGCAACGCCGCGUGAGUGAUGAAGGGUUUCGGCUCGUAAAACUCUGUUAUUAGGGAAGAACAAAUGUGUAAGUAACUGUGCACAUCUUGACGGUACCUAAUCAGAAAGCCACGGCUAACUACGUGCCAGCAGCCGCGGUAAUACGUAGGUGGCAAGCGUUAUCCGGAAUUAUUGGGCGUAAAGCGCGCGUAGGCGGUUUCUUAAGUCUGAUGUGAAAGCCCACGGCUCAACCGUGGAGGGUCAUUGGAAACUGGGAAACUUGAGUGCAGAAGAGGAAAGUGGAAUUCCAUGUGUAGCGGUGAAAUGCGCAGAGAUAUGGAGGAACACCAGUGGCGAAGGCGACUUUCUGGUCUGUAACUGACGCUGAUGUGCGAAAGCGUGGGGAUCAAACAGGAUUAGAU
rnacentral:rRNA from 1 species